AACAACUCACCUGCCGAAUGAAUUAGCCCUGAAAAUGGAUGGCGCUUAAGCGGGCAGCCGACACCGCGCCGUUCCGGCGAGACGAUGCCGGGAUGAGUAGGAGGGCGUGGCGGUCAGUGACGCAGGCGAGGGUGCAGACCCCGCUGAAACGGCCGCUAGUGCAGAUCUUGGUGGUAGUAGCAAAUAUUCAAGCGAGAUCCUUGAAGGGCGAAGCGGGGAAGGGUUCCACGCAAACAUUGAUUGGGCGUGGGUGAGUCGUUCCUAAGCCGAGUGGCAAUUGCUAAGUAGCGGCGAAAGGGAAGCGGGUUAAAAUUCCCGCACACGGAUAUGGAGGCGGCGACGCAAGCAGAGGCAAAUACGCUGGCGAGGGCGCUGGGCAGAGUUGUCUUUUCUGUUUGACCGGCAUCGCGCUGUGUGGAAUCCGCUUAUCGGGAGAAACACGCGCGGGGAGGGGCAGAGCGUCAGGUCUUUUCUGGCGUCCGGCUCGCCCUCGACGGCCCUUGAAAAUUUGCCCGCGAACUAUUUUUUACUUUUGUAGAAAACAAAAUUUCAUGCUGUGACGUACCGAUAACCGCAUCAGGUCCCCAAGGUGAACAGCCUCUGCUCAAUAUGAACAAU
rnacentral:rRNA from 1 species